GUGGCGGACGGGUGAGUAACGCGUGGGUAACCUGCCUCACACAGGGGGAUAACAGUUGGAAACGACCGCUAAUACCGCAUAACCCGCUAGGGCCGCAUGGCCCGGACGGAAAAGAUUUAUCGGUGUGAGAUGGACCCGCGUUGGACUAGCUAGUUGGCAGGGUAACGGCCUACCAAGGCGACGAUCCAUAGCCGGCCUGAGAGGGUGAACGGCCACAUUGGGACUGAGACACGGCCCAAACUCCUACGGGAGGCAGCAGUGGGGAAUAUUGCACAAUGGGGGAAACCCUGGUGCAGCGACGCCGCGUGAGUGAAGAAGUAUUUCGGUAUGUAAAGCUCUAUCAGCAGGGAAGAAAAUGACGGUACCUGACUAAGAAGCCCCGGCUAACUACGUGCCAGCAGCCGCGGUAAUACGUAGGGGGCAAGCGUUAUCCGGAUUUACUGGGUGUAAAGGGAGCGUAGACGGCUAAGCAAGUCAGAAGUGAAAGGCUGGGGCUCAACCCCGGGACUGCUUUUGAAACUGUUUGGCUAGAGUGCUGGAGAGGUAAGCGGAAUUCCUAGUGUAGCGGUGAAAUGCGUAGAUAUUAGGAGGAACACCAGUGGCGAAGGCGGCUUACUGGACAGUAACUGACGUUGA
rnacentral:rRNA from 1 species